AGCCCUCCCUCCAUAAGCUUUGGGUAGUAGCUGGGGAAGCCCCAUACUGGCCAAUUUGGUCCCUGCAAGCAUUGAUUGACUGGGUGUUUGGGCCUGGGUCGGCGGCGUGUUGAUUUCCACGGCGCCGCCAUCGCUUCCCCGGGAUAAAGCUACAGUGUGCUGCUGUUUUGCCUUUCCCCUUUUUUUAUACAAGUGUUUUAUGCCCGUUGCCUUGCUUUAAUAUUGGUGCGAUCCCUUCGAUGUUGUGCCGGCAGGAAGACUGCGCAGAGGAGAGUUUUAGCACCAUUGUUAUGCACGGGCAUGCUUUUACUUUGUUUUAUUGCACGCCUGCCGGUUUUUAAGGUCAGCGGGUUGUGGGGAUUUUAUUUGAGAACCGGGGUUUUAUUAAUGUGCGUGUGUGGUGAGUAAUUUCUCACCCACACUGUUUUUAUUAUUUGAAGACUU